rnacentral:rRNA from 1 species
AACCUGGUUGAUCCUGCCAGUAGUCAUAUGCUUGUCUCAAAGAUUAAGCCAUGCAAGUCUAAGUAUAAACUGCUUUAUACUGUGAAACUGCGAAUGGCUCAUUAAAUCAGUUAUAGUUUAUUUGAUGGUACCUACUUACUCGGAUACCCGUAGUAAUUCUAGAGCUAAUACGUGCGUACAUCCCGACUUCUGGAAGGGACGUAUUUAUUAGAUAAAAGGCCGACCGGGCUUGCCCGACUCGUGGUGACUCAUGAUAACUUCACGAAUCGCAUGGCCUCGCGCCGGCGAUGUUUCAUUCAAAUUUCUGCCCUAUCAACUUUUGAUGGUAGGAUAGAGGCCUACCAUGGUGGUAACGGGUGACGGAGAAUUAGGGUUCGAUUCCGGAGAGGGAGCCUGAGAAACGGCUACCACAUCCAAGGAAGGCAGCAGGCGCGCAAAAUUACCCAAUCCUGACACAGGGAGGUAGUGACCAUAAAUAACAAUACCGGGCCUUU